UUUCCGUAGGUGAACCUGCGGAAGGAUCAUUAAAGAGAUCAUGCCCUCACGGGUAGACCUCCUACCCUUUGUUUACAAUAUCUUUGUUACCUUGGCGGGCCCGUUUGGCCCCGCGCAGAACAUCCGUCCCCGGCUGGUCAGUACCCGUCAGAGAACCGAAGUCUUUGAAUAAAAUGUCGUCUGAGUAUUAUGUAAUAGUUAAAACUUUCAACAACGGAUCUCUUGGUUCUG
rnacentral:misc_RNA from 1 species